UAAACGACUCUCGGCAACGGAUAUCUCGGCUCUCGCAUCGAUGAAGAACGUAGCGAAAUGCGAUACUUGGUGUGAAUUGCAGAAUCCCGUGAACCAUCGAGUCUNNGAACGCAAGUUGCGCCCGAAGCCAUUAGGCCGAGGGCACGUCUGCCUGGGCGUCACAC
rnacentral:rRNA from 1 species